rnacentral:rRNA from 1 species
UACGAGGGGUCCUAGCGUUGUUCGGAAUCAUUGGGCGUAAAGGGUGCGUAGGUGGCCAUUCAAGUCAGUUGUGAAAUCCCCGGGCUCAACCCGGGAAGUGCUUCUGAUACUGUUUGGCUUGAGUACUGGAGAGGAUAGUAGAAUUCCAGGUGUAGUGGUGAAAUACGUAGAUAUUGGGAGGAACACCGGUGGCGAAGGCGGCUACCUGGACCGGUACUGACGCUGAGGCGCGAAAGCUAGGGUAGCAAACAGG